AUUGAACGCUGGCGGCAUGCUUUACACAUGCAAGUCGAACGGUAGCGCGGGGCAACCUGGCGACGAGUGGCGAACGGGUGAGUAAAGCAUCGGAACGUGCCCUGGAAUGGGGGAUAACGUAGCGAAAGUUACGCUAAUACCGCAUAUUCUGUGAGCAGGAAAGCAGGGGAUCGCAAGACCUUGCGUUCUGGGAGCGGCCGAUGUCGGAUUAGCUAGUUGGUGGGGUAAAAGCCUACCAAGGCGACGAUCCGUAGCGGGUCUGAGAGGAUGAUCCGCCACACUGGGACUGAGACACGGCCCAGACUCCUACGGGAGGCAGCAGUGGGGAAUUUUGGACAAUGGGCGGAAGCCUGAUCCAGCCAUGCCGCGUGAGUGAAGAAGGCCU
rnacentral:rRNA from 1 species